rnacentral:misc_RNA from 1 species
GAUGAAGAACGUAGCGAAAUGCGAUAAGUAGUGUGAAUUGCAGACUUUAGUGAAUCAUCGAAUCUUUGAACGCACAUUGCGCCCGCCAGUAUUCUGGCGGGCAUGCCUGUCUGAGCGUCAUUUCAACCCUCAUGCCCCUAGGGCGUGGUGUUGGGGAUCGGCCAAAGCCCGCGAGGGACGGCCGGCCCCUAAAUCUAGUGGCGGACCCGUCGUGGCCUCCUCUGCGAAGUAGUGAUAUUCCGCAUCGGAGAGCGACGAGCCCCUGCCGUUAAACCCCCAACUUUCCAAGGUUGACCUCAGAUCAGGUAGGAAUACCCGCUGAACUUAAGCAUAUCAAUAAGCGGAGGA